GCGGGUGUAGUCUAAUGGUAAAAUUCCAACUUCCCAAGAUGGAGAUGUGGGUUCGAUUCCCAUCACCCGCU
rnacentral:tRNA from 1 species